ACACCUCGGGAUGUCUGAGGAUCCUCAUCCCCGUAACUCAAGGAGCCUGGGGAAGCACAGCCACGGCCACAGGAGCCGCUCGGGGUGGUACCGAACCGUGUUUUCACGGCGGAAGCCAAAGGCGCGGUUCAGCCCAACACGCCCGUCCCCCUCCGGCAGCCGCAGUGGGGCCGGGGCCGGCGGGCGUGGCGGGACCGGCGCAGGGGAAGAGAAAAUGAAAUUUCCAACAGUUCAGUAAUCAUGCUUUGCAUCUUCGCUGUCUUCUUGAGUUGCUGCUCCUUCCCACCACCGUACACAUGUUGGGGCAGGCUGUGUCUUCUACUGCCACCAGCCCAUGCCCAUGUUGCCUAUGCUCUCUGUGCAGCUGGAGAUAACAGAUCAGGCACCAGGAACAGUGCAGCUCUCUGCCACUCCCUUCCAAUUCUGUUAAAAUUAUUAUUAAUAUUUACUUUCACUGCCUUACAGAUCAGAAGGAGCUUGGUUUUUUCUUGGCUUAUUCUGAUCAUUGCAUACCUUUACUUUCCCAUAUAAGAAGUUCAAAUUUGGACUUGCUCCAUCCUUUUUGUGUCCUGUCUUUUGUGGAAAAUGGUAGCAAGCCUCUCUGCCUGCCCACUGUGGAUAAAAAUAGAGCUUUUCACUUUCUUAACAUUGAAAGUUGUAGUAUUGUCCACAAGGGUCCCAGGAUGAGGGAAGAGAUGAGAAAGUUGACUCCAUGUUUCAGAAAGCUCGAUUUAUUAUUUUAUGAUAGAAAAUAUAUUAAAACUAUACUAAAAGAAUAGAGAGAAAGGAUUUCAUCAGAAGGCUAAGCUAAGAAUAGAAAAGGAAUGAAUAACAAAGGUUUGUCCCUGACCGAGACAGUCUGGGCAGGUGAACUGUGAUUGGCCCUUAAUUCCAAACAACCGGAUGAGACCAAUCACAGAUUCCCCCUGUUGCAUUCCACAGCAGCAGAUAAGAAUUGUUUACAGUUUGUUCCUGAGGCCUCUCAGCUUCUCAGGAGGGAAAAAUCCUAAGGAAAGGAUUUUUCAUAAAACAUGUUGGUGACAGAAAGUUGUUUAUAAUUUCUAAUAUCAAUAUGUCAAAUACACAGCUGGUAGAAUUCUGCCAUUCCUAUACUAGAAAAUAUUAAAGGAAAAAAAAGUUGGUUUUAGGGGAAACCUAGGCGUAGUGAAAUAUUCUAAGUGCUACCCGCGGGGCUCUCACCAACCAAGUAUGAAACAUUUCAAGUUGGAACUCUGCUAUUCUAGAAUGUGGUCAAUGUCACUUCUGGAUACAACAGAUGGAUCCAGGGAGCAGUUAUGGGUAUGUCUACACAGGGAGUUUGGUCUCCAAUGUGGACUAGUUUUCAGGUGCAUCCCGUUAAUGCACUUACAUUAGAACUGAUAGGACAAUUCUUGGGAAUCUGGUGUUAAGAAUCCUUCUAUAAAUCACUAAUUAAAAUCUGGUGAAGUACUAGAGUAGUUGAAGAUUUUCUUGUGAUAAAUGCUUUGUUUCUUAUAUGAAGCCAGGGUUUUUGAUGAAUUAAAGAACUAUUCUUUAAAGAUUUAUUGCUACAACAGACAGGAUGUCUGAAAGAACAAAAGACAAGGUUUACAAAGUGUCAGAAGUCCACUCCAGAAUAUAUCUGCCUCAAAGUGGUGCCUGUAUAUCAAGACUCAAGUGUACUAAGAAAAAAUAGUUCCUGUUCACAGUGCUGUAAAAUAAUAAGUAGUGAAUCUGAUAAACAGCAUAUGCAGACUUGUACAAACCUACAUAAAUCAAAUAAAAAUUUUCAUAAUGGACAAAAUCCCUAAA